rnacentral:rRNA from 1 species
GAUGAACGCUAGCGGCAGGCUUAACACAUGCAAGUCGAGCGGCAGCAGCACUGUAGCUAUCCAGUUGCUGGCGACCGGCACACGGGUGCGGAACACGUACGCAACCUACCCAAAACUGGGGGAUAACCCGCGGAAACCCGUCUUAAUACCUCGUAACCUUUUUAAGUUGCAUCACUUGAUAAUUAUAGCUCCGUCGUUUUUUGAUAGACUUCCGCCUGAUUAGGUAGUUGGUGCGGGUCACGGCCCACCAAGCCCGCGAUCAGUAACUGGUGUGAGAGCCCGACAAGUCACAUGAGCACUGGGGCACGGACCCGACUCCUGAGGGACGGCGCAGUCAGGAAUAGUAGUCAAGGGAGGCAAAUCUUGACCAGCCAUGCCGAGUGAAGGAUAAAGGUCCUCUGGAUUGUAAACUUCUUUUAUGGGGGAAGAGCCCCGUAUAUUCUUAUCAGAUUGACGGUACCUAAGGAAUAAGCACCGGCUAACUCCGUG